CAACAAGUGAAGUUUAUGUUGCUUGCUUGGGGAUCUUCCGGGUUCAGAGACCGAGGUGGGGGGUUCUUUUGUUGUUAGCGGACGACGUUCUCUAAGAAAGCGAGUUGAAGCUUGCGAACGAAGAAACACUUGCAAGAAGAUGGCGCACUUUCUCCGUCUUGACUCUCCCCCACCCACAGAAAGAGCUUUCUAUUUUGUUUUUCUCUCUGAGGGGAAGAGGGGAGAAUGGGUCUGGCGCGUGCCAGACAGCGCAGCUGCUCUGCUUUUACUUCCACGAUCUUAAAUUGUAUGCUGGCUGAGGCGUCGGUCGAGGACACCGACGGGGGCAAGCAAGUCGGCUUCUGGGGCCAGGCUAACCUUUCCCCUCUUUCUUUGUUUUGUUUUUUCAAUAAACCUAUAUCCCCCCCGACGGGGGCAUAUGCGUCCCUGAA